UGUAAGGAUUAAGUAGGAUAAUAUAAGUCAGUUACUUAGCACAGUGCUGGCAGAGGGUAGGCUCUUAUUUAAAUUAGCUCUUAUUAUUAUUCAAUUGAUAAUAUAUGGCCCAUCUGAUGUCACGUGCUUUAAUCUGGUAUUAUUUGUGUUUAUCACAUAUGCUUCCUUCACAAAUCAACCACAAGCUAUCUGUUACUUUGUCUUUCCCUUUAGGUAUCUCUAUUGGAGAUGAACGCAUGUUCAAUACACGUGGCCUGCCUGAGUCAUUAGCAAAGUGUCCAACAACUCUGAGGCGUAUCCUCAAAUGAAGCCUUGUCUCUGUGAAAUUCCUGAUAAAUCGUCAUUUUAUGGAAUGCCACAGGAAGAAGUUUUCUUUACAAGUUCUGAAGACUUGUGAUGAAUGAGUCCAUAGUUUCACCUUUGAAAAUGUCCCUGGGAGUGUCAACCCCAUCACUUUUACUUAUAUUACACUCAUAAUCAGUUCAUCUCGCCAAGAAAAAUAAUAUUAUCCUCAUGCCCAAACUUGUGACUUGAUUUGAAAACCAGUAAAUCAGAAAUAAAACUUCCCAUGUGUUUUUUUCCUACAUGAAUCCAAGUGACUCAGAUAUUGUGUUAUUCAAUAAGACUAUUACCAUGACUCAGGUAAAAGGGCCGUUUAUAUUUUCUGAAGUCUCAAGUCUAGGGUCCAAAAUAAAACUAGCAUCUUUUAUAGAAUAAUUUUUCUCUAAAAUGAAAUGUGUAUGUCACCUGGUUGUCAAAAUCCUUAUUUAAAUCUUUAAGGAGAAAAGCAAUGGUUUGGA
rnacentral:lncRNA from 10 species